AUUGAACGCUGGCGGUAGGCCUAACACAUGCAAGUCGAGCGAGCGGCGGACGGGUGAGUAAUGUAUGGGGACUGCCCGAUAGAGGGGGAUAACUACUGGAAACGGUAGCUAAUACCGCAUACUAUCGGAUAACCCAUAUGGGAUUAGCUGGUUGGUGAGGUAAUGGCUCACCAAGGCGACGAUCCCUAGCUGGUCUGAGCGGAUGAUACGCCACACAGGAACUGAGACACGGCCCAGACUCCUACGGAGGCAGCAGUGGGGAAUAUUGCACAAUGGGCGCAAGCCUGAUGCAGCCAUGCCGCGUGUAUGAAGAAGGCCCUAGGUGUGUAAAGUACUUUCAGUCGGGAGGCGUUACCGACAGAAGAAGCACCGGCUAACUCCGUGCCAGCCGCCGCGGUAAUAC
rnacentral:rRNA from 1 species